rnacentral:rRNA from 1 species
UACGGAGGAUCCGAGCGUUAUCCGGAUUUAUUGGGUUUAAAGGGUGCGUAGGCGGAAAUGUAAGUCAGUGGUGAAAUCCUGCAGCUUAACUGUAGAAUAGCCGUUGAAACUGUGUUUCUUGAGUAUAUUUGAGGUAGGCGGAAUGUGGUGUGUAGCGGUGAAAUGCAUAGAUAUACCACAGAACACCGAUUGCGAAGGCAGCUUACUAAACUGUCACUGACGCUGAUGCACGAAAGCGUGGGUAUCAAACAGGAUUAGA